UACAGAGGUGGCAAGCGUUGUUCGGAAUUACUGGGCGUAAAGGGCGCGUAGGCGGCCUUCUAAGUCAGACGUGAAAUCCCCCGGCUUAACCUGGGAACUGCGUCUGAUACUGGGAGGCUUGAGUAUGGGAGAGGGAUGUAGAAUUCCAGGUGUAGCGGUGAAAUGCGUAGAUAUCUGGAGGAAUACCGGUGGCGAAAGCGCUCUGCUGGACUGCAACUGACACUCAGGGACGAAAGCUAGGGGAGCGAAUGGG
rnacentral:rRNA from 1 species